CAGUCUUCUAAAAAUUACACUAAUAAUAUUUUAAAUAAUACUUAUUAUCAGAAAGCAAAUAAAAAUAAUUUGGGACGCUUGAUGGGAUUUAUGAAGCGAAACAAUACCAAUAGCUUUUUCUCCUUCGGCUUUAGUAUUCUCUGCUCGGACUUCGGCAAGGAUUUUAUCUGCAAUUUCAUUCUUCUUUUUCAAUUCGAUUUCUUGGGCUGCUAACACCACUCUUAAUUCGCUUACCUAUCGAUUAACCGCAAGAUUCCAGCUUUUCCAAGCCGUUUUUCAAUCUCUCUAUCAUCGCUUUUACGUCGUAGGUUCUUUCCACAAGCAACUUCGAAUACAAAGAAAUUUGCUCCAAGAACGUUUUAGGAGUCGUGUAGUUGUAUCUUCUCUCGUUUUGUAGAUAAAGCGAAGAUAUAUCAUUAACGCUAGUAUGCACGUAUGACAUGAACAAAGAAGCUGAUGACUUGUAUUUUUUUGGAAGGUCUUCUAAUU
rnacentral:misc_RNA from 1 species